UGGGGGAAUUUUGGACAAUGGGCGAAAGCCUGAUCCAGCAAUGCCGCGUGUGUGAAGAAGGCCUUCGGGUUGUAAAGCACUUUUGUCCGGAAAGAAAUCCUUGGCUCUAAUACAGUCGGGGGAUGACGGUACCGGAAGAAUAAGCACCGGCUAACUACGUGCCAGCAGCCGCGGUAAUACGUAGGGUGCAAGCGUUAAUCGGAAUUACUGGGCGUAAAGCGUGCGCAGGCGGUUUGCUAAGACCGAUGUGAAAUCCCCGGGCUCAACCUGGGAACUGCAUUGGUGACUGGCAGGCUAGAGUAUGGCAGAGGGGGGUAGAAUUCCACGUGUAGCAGUGAAAUGCGUAGAGAUGUGGAGGAAUACCGAUGGCGAAGGCAGCCCCCUGGGCCAAUACUGACGCUCAUGCACGAAAGCGUGGGGAGCAAAACAGGAUUAGAUACCCUGGUAGUCCACGCCCUAAACGAUGUCAACUAGUUGUUGGGGAUUCAUUUCCUUAGUAACGUAGCUAACGCGUGAAGUUGACCGCCUGGGGAGUACGGUCGCAAGAUUAAAAC
rnacentral:rRNA from 1 species